rnacentral:pre_miRNA from 1 species
GAUCAAUGCAUUGAAAGUGACUACAUCGGGGCUUUGAUUUUAUAUGUUGUCGGUCUCACGAUCCAAUCGAAUAAUCAGCCCCGGGUUUAGUCACCUUCACUGCAUUAAUC